rnacentral:lncRNA from 1 species
GAACCGGGAUGGAAGGUGUCGACGUAGGAGGCAGUUUCGCGUUUGGUCAUUCGGCCUCUCAUAUAAGGAUCGCAGGACAAGUAGAGAUUCUUGACGAGCACCCCUGUGGAACCUUGUGGCAGCUUCAGUGAGGUUGUAGAGGUCCUCAGCUCCAUGUCGGAUUCUUUGGGGAAGCCGGUGACAUAGUCUUUCAGUAUCACCUGCUUGUUGCUCAUCACUUGACACUCGCUCGCCAUGGCUACUUGCUCUUUAGAUCAAAUUCCCCCUCCAAUGCUUUGGUCAAACUAUAAACAACUUCGCCAAAACAAAAACAAAACUAUAAACAACUUCGCUUCGCUAAAGGUGGGCUGGGCGAAACCUGGAAGCAGUGAGCCUCUGCGGCCUUUACCGUAAUGAAUAAAAACUCUGAUAAAGCAUCAUGGAGUGGAGUAUGCCUCGAUCACUUUUGGAUGUAAAAUUAAGUUGUUUUGUUUUUAAUCUUCAGAUUUACAUCUAAUGGUGAUUGAUUAUACAUCAUUUUGUCAGUAACUGACUAGGUGAACAUGACUGACCGAGAAAAGACAAGUAUGGUGUCAUUUCAAACAUUGGCGAGUGCACAAGUGCAUUCAUAUCUUCCUCUCAAUAUUAGAUCGCACACCCAUUUUUCUCUUCAUACUUGAUAUUAAUGCAAGUACCAUCGUGAAAAUCAUACCACAUUUAUUAAGAUCACACAGCUCUCGUCAAUACACAACAGGCAAUAUCCAAAGCAGGCUAACCUAAUACCUGAUACAAGUUCUGAACAUACACCCAGGUGCACGUACUGCAGAUGCCCUUAAACAACUUAACAUAAAAACUAAACACUCGGACUUGAGAAGUGGGAUGGAUCUAGGCAGAUUAGUAAUCACUCCGUGGAACUACAACCACCUGCUUUCCCACAUUGCGGCCGGUUAGGAAUAGAAUUUCAUCAUUCCUGCGAGACAACAACAACUUGCUUUCCUACAUUUCGACCUGCAAAGAGUCCAACCAGAGCCGAUGGUGCGCUCUCGAGGCCUUCAACUACAUCUUCUACGUAUGUAACCUUCCCUUCUUUAAUGUGAGGAAUAACCAUUUCAAGAAACUUGCCAUACAGAUGAUAAUAACUAAAAACCGUAAAACCUUGCAUCCGGACCUCUUUGGUGACCAGAGACAUUAAGUUAUGUACACCUUCAGACUUCUCCAGGUUGUACUGUGAGAUCAUCCCACAAACUGCAAUUCGGCCGUGGGAUCUCAUGUUCAAUAGCACUGCAUCAAGCAUCUUUCCCCCAACAUUCUCAAAGUAAAUAUCGAUACCUUCAGGGAAGUACCUGUUGUUAAAGCAAAUGACACAUAUCAGAUUAGGACUAGUUGUAAGAAAACACCGACAAUGCGGGAAGUCCUUGUAGUAUAUCACUAUAUCUAUAGAGAACAAUGACCUUUUCAAAGCUACAUCCAAGUUAGAUUCUUCUUUAUAAUUGAAAGCCUCGUCAAACCCAAGAGUGUUCUUCAGCAAAUCAACCUUAAGUCACAUAAAUGAUACACAGUGUUAAAUAAAAGCAGGUAAACAAGUAAAUCGAAAAUAGUGAAACCUGUAAUAUGAAAACUAAUAUCGAAGUUGGCACUGAUAAUCAAAUAUCAAUGCAAUGACUGAAGGAUCACCUUUUCUUUACUUCCAGCACUUCCAACAACAUAGCAACCCAUGAGUUUGGCGAAUUGGCCGACUAGUUGACCUACUGCUCCAGAUGCUGCGGAAACAUAGACCGUCUCUCCUUUCUUAGGAGAGCAGAUCUCAUAAAGACCAACAAAAGCAGUAAUCCCAGGCAUACCUGCAUAACAGAAGGUAUACAGCAGAUGAGACUUGAGCAUCACGCCUGAAGCAGGCAGACAUUUUCCGCUAUAGUUAAUUCUUUGAUGCUGAAGCAAUUUCCUUAAUACUAGUAGCAGACGACACUAAGUUGAACACAGACAGGAAUGUGGUCACUAUAAGAUGUCUUAGGAUUGACAUAUAUACUUUGGCAUCAUACUAGAUCGAUGUUAGAGUUGUAGGCAGCUGGACAUUAAACUGAGCAGAUUUCACGUUGAAUAGAAAAGAAAAGUAGAAGAAGUUAACUAGUGCAUUCUGAAGCAAUUAUCCAAUACAUGCAACCAGUGACACAGUCAUACAAAGAUAUUCAAUGUUUAAAAGAUACAAGUGAAUUGAAGGCAUAUACCGAGAAUUCCAGUAUAGUAAGAGAGAGGAAUAUUGGGGUGUUGGUGAAUCUUAAAAAGAGACUGGGUUGCAGUGAUGAGACUGUACUCUUCCCAGCCAGUAUGACCCCAAACAAAGUCGCCCUGCUCAAACUUUGGAUCCCCAGAUUCCAAAACUUUAGCCACUCCAUAUCCAGUUAUAGGCUGCGCAUAUAAAUUAAAUAUGAAUAACAAGUACAACCAUGAACUGUUAAUUGAAAAAUAACAGAGAGAGACUACUGACGGAACCGGGAUGGAAGGUGUCGACGUAGGAGGCAGUGAAUUCGCGUUUGGUCAUUCGGCCUCUCAUGUAAGGAUCACAGGACAAGUAGAGAUUCUUGACGAGAACCCCGGUGGAACCUUGUGGCAGCUUGAGUGAAAUUGUAGAGGUCCUCAGCUCCAUGUCGGAUUCUUUAGGGAAGCCGGUGACAUAGUCUUUGAAUAUCACCUGCUUGUUGCUCAUCUCGCUCGCCAUUCCUACUUGCUUGCUGUUGAGAUCAAACUGCUCAAU